rnacentral:misc_RNA from 1 species
CCCAAGGUGAUAGUUGAGAGGAAAUCUUAUCAGCGGAAACGCCUUGUUUGAGCAAGCCAUGAAUUUCCUGCAGUAGAGCAUAUACUUCAGGAAUACUUUCAAUAAGCCCCUCUGGCAACAGGAUCACACCAUGGUUUUUAUCUUGUUCAGCCCUAGCUUGAACUGUAUCACAAAUUUUGUUUGUUAUGUCAAAAAGAGUAAGCUUUGAUGCAGAUACCUCCUCACCAAG